GCCUCUCUGGGACUGGGGCCCCGGCGCUGCGCUCCGGUGGCCUACGAAGGCGAGGGUGGGAGGCGCCCAGGGCGGAAAUCCAGCUCUCGGGUGAGGACUUUAAAAAGCGCGGGGCGGGAGGAGUCAGAAAACGGUUUUGAGCAGGAAAACUACGCGACAGGAAGUGUAUACAUUGCCCUACAGCAGAAAGACAGGGGACGGCCCAGCCUCAGGGCGACUUUAAACCCAAAAGGAAGCGAUAUCCGGACUCUCAUGGAGACGUCUCAAUUUGUCCUGGGUGAAGGAAGAAGGACGAGAAUUUCCAGGUCUGUGGAGACCCUACGUCUCAGUUUUAGUAAAGAUGGGGUUUCACCGUAUUAGCCAGGAUGGUCUCGAUCUCCUGACCUCGUGAUCCACCCGUCUCGGCCUCCCAAAGUGCUGGGAUUACAGACGUGAGCCAUCGCGCCCGGCCAGUGAUCCAACAUUAUUCUUUUCCACGUGGAUAUCCAGUUAGUUGUCCCAGCGUAUUUGUCUACAAGGCCACCAGCUAUGUAGAAUCCAACUUCUUUAAGACUCAUAUAAGAUAAGCCCUAUACUGUAAUCUUGUCCAGUCCCACUGCUGCUAAAGUUGCAGGUGUUGUGCCUUGGAUCCACCACAGUCAGCUGAAACUGGCAGCUCAAGACAAGUAGAAAAGCCAGCAGGACCCAGAUGAUCCAACUUGGCUGAUCCUGAGAUGAGAUCAAGCUGCUGCUAAAGAAGACCGCCUGCUGUAGUCACUACGGAGUCUGACCAGUCUAUGCACAGCUGAAGCUUGAGGGGACAAUCCCUGCUCUAGUCACACACCAGAAGCUGACUAGUCUAUGCAUGGCUGAAGCUUGAAGAGUCAUUAAGCCAGUAAAUGGAGUUAGGAAUCUUAAGACUAGUAGUUUUCCUUGUAAUACUGUUUUUCUAUUGUUCUGUCACUGUGCUCAAUCUCCUCCCCGGAGUAAUGACCUCUUCUGUCCUUGCUAGACAGGAAUAUGCUAUUCAUUGCUUUGCUGUUAUUACCCCCCUUUACCAUGCUAAAAGAAGCAACCAUAGAAAAGUGUCCCCAUUAUAUACAUACUACAUAGUCAAGGAACAGUAUAACCAAGACUCUAUGAUACCAAACUUAUUAUGAGUGUACAAGGACUCACCUAAGAACUUGUACUUAAAAUCAGAUCACCUAUUCAAUUCACGACCCAGGAAAUAGCCAGCCUUAUAUAUGCUAUGACCCCAAGUCUUUACCUAAGACUUAAUUUGAAGUUCAUAUCAAGUCAAAAGAAAGAAGUCUUAUAGGUCAAACCCAAGCCUCUCCCCCAGGAGGAGGCCAUAUCCAUAUAUUUUGAUGUUUGUCAGUUAACAUCCAUGAACCCAGCCUAUCUCACAAUCUCUGGUCUUACAAAGUACUAUACAAACUGCCAGUACAAAAUUGUUUGUGCACCCCCUGUUUGCCCCUCCAAGGCCCUAGCAAUAGCUUGCUGGAACUACACAAUGCAGUUCACUGACUGAUCAUCACUAACAAGACAGCAAAUGCAUUAGAGUUACUAGCCAAGCAAGCCACAAAAAUGAAAAAUGCUGUUUAUCAGAACAGAUUAGCUUUAGACUACCUCCUAGCCCAGGAAAGAGGAACAUGUAGAAAGUUCAAUCUAACUAAUUGCUGCCUAGAAAUCGAUGAAAAUAGAAAGGCAAUUAUAGAAAUAACUGCAAGAAUAAGAAAAUUAGCCCAUGUUCCAGUUCAAACUUAGAAAAGGUAGUCUCCAGAUUCUGUCUUUAGAGAUUAAUUUUCAUUUUUGGAAAAUUCAAGAUUUUAAUAAGAGUAUUUCUAGCCAUACUAAGAAGUUGCCUAAUACUCCCUUGUCUCUUACCUCUCCUUGUUAGAAGCAUUCAAUCAGCUAUAGAGGUGAUAGCAGCUAGGGAAACUACCACUCAGCUGAUGGCUCUGCACAAAUAUCAACCUUUGCCCAAAGAAGAAAACUUGUCUCUUCGCGCAGAACUAAGUAAUGGUGAGGCCUUCUAUAAAAGAAGUUUUAUAGAAGGCCUCAAAAGGAGGAAAAACGUAGUAAGGGUUAAAAAGAAAAAGAAGUUUUCCUCUGCUUAGCAGCUCACUUCAAGGACAGUUAUAAGAUAACGCUGUCUUGAAAGGCAAGGCCAAAGGAACAGGCUCCAGAGAGCUCCUGCCUCCUGAGCAAAGUUGAGGGGGAAAAAAAGAGAAAGAAAUUAUUUUACUGUUACUCCUUUCCCUAGUCUCUCAAACAUGACUAUAUUUUACAAAUAUCUGUAUUUAGCCACUUCUUGUUUUUCUUUUGACGCAGCUACAAGGCCAUCAGCUACGCAAGGCCACAAGACGUGCAUGUGAUUAACUGCCUUUGUUUUGCUUUUGUAACCCCACUUAUAAAAGUCCCACUCUUUGUUCAAGGCUCAGCUUUUUAGAUAUAAAUCCACUCAGCCAGUGCUUACCUUAAAAUAAACAUCCUUCUGUAAUCCCGUA